GAAACAUUACGGUGGGGCAGAAGGCAACCGCUUCUACCCACGCCAGUCUCCUCUAACUCAGUCUGGACUUCAUAACACUGACCUUAUCACUCAGUAAGAUUUUAAAAUCAUCUAUGCACUGUUACUUCUAAUUUGGAAGCUAAUGGCUGACUAACUUCAUGGAGAGCUGGCUUUUUAUCCAGUUCAUGCAGUAUUCCCUCUCCCUCCCAGUCAAUCUUCAUUCUCUUAUGUGAUAUGUGUACAUUUCUAUCUAAACCCAUUAUAUUGUGAUUUGCCUUGUGGUUGGGCUGUGUCUGACUCAUCACUGUGUUCCACAUAGCGAAUAUUCAUCGAUAAUGUUCUCACUACAUAUCUAUGUUCUAAAACUGAGCACCGAUUGUUGUAAGCAGAUUUCAUAAUCCCGAAGGUCAAGAUCUUCUGGAGGGGGGAGAGAGAAGCCAUGCUAGUAAUACAAUGCUUUCACUCCACCUUACCUCGCUCAUUUUGAUCUCAUUGCUUAAAAUGUCUUGUAACCUUGACUGCUGAGCAAAUUCUUAUUCAUCUUGAGAACCAAGUUCAGUCACUGACUCCCCUAUGAAAUUUUCCCUUUUUGUACUAAUCUGUCUUUUAUGCUUGUUCUCUUAUUCUUGAAAACAUAGUGUAAUUCAAAGCUUUGAUUCCUAUUUGUUCCCUUAGCUUCUUGAGAAAAGUCAUCCUUGAAGUUUCUAGCAGAGAUUUAUUUUAGGGCUAAGGAAUUCAGAUCGCUUCAUUAGAGGCUGUUUUGAUAAGGAAAGAACUUGAGAGGUAAAAGAGGGGCAGGAACAUGGGGGAGGGUGGAGAUGAAGGGUUAUCUUGGGUCACCAAAGAUAAAUGUUGCCUAGUUUCUAAUUUCACUAAAGGUUGAAGCUUCCUAAUGAGUUAGUAAGCGAAAAGCCCAGUAUAAAGUGCAGCUCAGAUACAACUCACUGAAGCUAGAGAAAGGACGAUGAAUACUGUGUCCAUCGAUCACAUGUUGAAACUGGGUCCGAAUGGUUUUAAAUUCUUAGAUGGUAAAGUGGUGGAAGCGAUGCAGCUCUUGUGUCGAGUGUCACUGUGUUACUAGAAACCAGGCUGUGCUUUGAUAUCUUGGAGACGCCAAACUGCAAUGUAUUAAAUCCUAAGAAAUGUUAAAAUAUUUCUGGGCUUUUCUGGGAGAGAUCUUGUAUCUGCACCCGAUCUCUUAGAAACUGAACCAGGAAAAAAAAUAAAAAUAAAGAAACUGAACCAGUUGAACAUUUAUUAGGUCUUAAUUCAAUGUUGCUCAUCAAGAUGGGCAGCUUCAUGAAGGAUCUUAUUCCUAGUUGAGGGUCAAGGGAUAUCAUUUAAAAAGUUCUUUUCCUCUUAAGAAAAGGUAGUGCUGCCUCUGCUAGUUUCCGUGGCUGUAUCUCUGUGCAUCUAGACAUAGGGAAUCAUUUGCUUUUAAGUGUCUAAUUUCUGGGUCUGACCAAAAUGAACUUUGUGUUUUGUGUUUGUGAUUUUUAUACAUGUCACCGUGUCACCUGACAGAUGUAUUACUAAAAAGAGAAACCCGCUGGACAGUUUCAAGCCCACUAUGGAAAUAGAGAUGGGAAGGUGGGACUAUGGGAAAGAGAGCAAGUAAAUCAUCAAACAUUUAUAGGCCUGUGAUUCAUACUUAUUUUUAGAGAUUAACCAUAUCCAGUCUAAAUAAGAAUAAAAGGCAUGUCAUCAUUUUGAUAUUUUGUGCAUCUUUUUACAGACUGUCUCAUCUCUAUCCCAAAUUUGCAUAGUGGUCACAGAGGUAACAUACCUGUACUGCAUUGCCUCUUUUCCCUGUUUUUCCACAGAGUGGAGCUGUAACUGCAUUAAGAUGAAGCAAACAAUCCCAAAGACCGAAGAUUGAGUAAAUGAGAGAUAUAUAGACACUACGACUCAGGUGACAGUGAGCCCAAGCAGAGAAAUUAAAGAAUGGACCUAAUAAAGCCUGUGCUGUUACUGAAAGAUUAAGAUAAGUAACUGUAUGAGAAGCACCUACACCAUAUCAGAUAUGCCUACCGUUGUGCCUGGUGCAUACCAUGCACUAGUGUUUGCUGAUGCGUGAAUGAACCUGAGGUAUUUAUAAAUGGAUUCUGCAUAUAAAGACAAAUCCAGUGGAGUGGAGGAAGGAUAAAAAGACGGAAGCAGAAACACACCUAAAAUUAUUCAGCCUAUGCCCUCCUGUGCCAGGCCUGGCCUCAGAAGCUCCACGCCAGCCUUAGUGAUGAUGGCUGCUGUCUUUCUGAAACAGAGAGGCAGCCAGCGAGAGAAGGAACA